AUUGAACGCUGGCGGCAGGUCUAACACAUGCAAGUCGAGCGGAGCGGCGGACGGUUGAGUAAUGCCUAGGAAUCUUCCUGGUAGUGGGGGACAACGACCGGAUACGUGCGCUAAUACCGCAUACUAUCAGAUGAGCCUAGGUCGGAUUAGCUAGUUGGUGGGGUAAAGGCCUACCAAGGCGACGAUCCGUAACUGGUCUGAGAGGUGGAUCAGUCACACUGGAACUGAGACACGGUCCCGACUCCUACGGGAGGCAGCAGUGGGGAAUAUUGGACAAUGGGCUGAAGCCUGAUCCAGCCAUGCCGCGUGUGUGAAGAAGGUCUUCGGAUUGUAAAGCACUUUAAGUUGGGAGGCGUUACCAACAGAAUAAGCACCGGCUAACUUCGUGCCAGCAGCCGCGGUAAUUC
rnacentral:rRNA from 1 species